AAAGAAUCGAAAAGAAACGAGAUACUUUUGUUACUGAUACUGGAAUUGGAAGAAAAUUAGACAGAAAGGAGGAAGAGUAAUUGGAAAAGAAGAAUAGAGAUGAAAUUAAAGAAAUAGAAGAAAGUAUUCUGCAGAGGAGGAAGAAAGAUAGAGAAAUUAAGGAAAAGAGGGAGAAGAAGAAGAAUUAGGGCUCAGCCAAGAAGAAAGAAGAAAAAUAAAGGGAAAGAAUGGAAGAAAUUUCAGGGGAAGAAGCAAGAAGAUAGAACAGAAGAAGAUAUUGAGAAAGAAGGGAAAGAGAGAAAGGGAUAAAGAAGAAGAGAGAAACCUGGAAUUUGGAAGACUGCCACUGAUCUCUUGUGGUUGUGACUCCCACAAACUGAUUUGGAAGCAAGUCCACUGGACAACAGUGCUCUGAUACCAAUUUGUUAAGUAACAGACUUGUACAGCCCAUUCGAAACAGAGAAAUAGAAAGAGACUUGUUGAGAAUAGAACAGAAAGGGGAGAAGAUUCAAAGAGAAUUAUAGGAGAGAGAAAUAUAAUUCUAUGUAUUGAUUCUUGGAAUGCCUUGCAAGAAUACCAAUUGUUAGGGUUCUAGACAGACCCCUAACAAGCAGUUACUGAUUCAGAGAAAGAAGAAAAAAAUGAAAGAGAGGGUAAUAGGGAGGAAUAGAAGCAGAAA
rnacentral:misc_RNA from 1 species